rnacentral:tRNA from 1 species
GCCUUCGUAGCUCAGCGGAAGAGCAGCGGUCUUCGGAACCGCGUGUCGGGAGUUCGAUCCUCUCCGGGGGCACCA